rnacentral:rRNA from 1 species
AUACGGAGGGUGCAAGCGUUAUCCGGAUUUAUUGGGUUUAAAGGGUGCGCAGGCGGCGAUGUAAGUCAGUGGUGAAAGGCUGCCGCUUAACGGUAGGACUGCCAUUGAUACUGCAUUGCUUGAGUAUGGUUGAGGUAAGCGGAAUGUGUGGUGUAGCGGUGAAAUGCAUAGAUAUCACACAGAACACCGAUUGCGAAGGUAGCUUACUAAGCCAUUACUGACGCUGAGGCACGAAAGCGUGGGUAGCGAACAGGAUUAGAAACCCCAGUAGUCC